CAGAACUGUGAUGAUAAAUAUGGCGAGCAGCCUUCGUUUCCUUCUGCUGAAGCCUCAUUAUAGUUCAGAGAAAACUGACCCCGUUUGUGAAACAGGUUAAUUAGACAGCGAGCGAGUUUUUAAUUAAAGGUCAAGAGCUUCUCAAAGUUCACUGUAAGUCCUCAGCUCUACAGAUACAAGACGUUUAUGAAGAGUCCUCUACAGUGAGAGAAACUUAUGAACAGAUGACCAUAACUAACCUUCAUAAAGUCUCUCUGAGCCCUUAUGUCUGUUUCUCUCUCUCUCUCCACCAGGACUGAUCAUCAAACAGCAGAGCAGCAUAAGAGCCAAAGCAUCUAAACUGCACUGGAUUUGAUGUUUAUUAUCUUCAUACUGUCUGUUCUAAGGUGACUGUCUUUGAGUACUGUAAUAAAG